CUGUCUACCAUCAGCCUGUCAACAAACACAGCGUCAGUUCUUCUCGUACAUUCGUGGAGUUUGCACGUAUUGAGAAAUAGGGUGUCGCGUUCGAUUAAUCUUCUACCGGCCACCGACGCGGAAUCGAUCGAUAAAGAAGGCGUCGCUUUAAUCUUGCAUUUUCUAAUAAUAACGCGAAUAUCGUCGCGUCAGCUCAACGAAACUCAUGAACUCUCUGAACCGGAGGUCGUCCAUACGUCGAUAACUCCUUGCUAAUCGAUUACGUAUGAAUAAUGUCGUUCGAUACUCGGAAAGAAAGAGAAGGAGGGAGAGAGAGGAGGAAAGAUUAUGCUAGGGUACCACAGAAGAUAUUAAUAUUUGUGUGGAGUCCAUAUACACCUGCUGGUAUACUUAAGGGGUGCUAAUGAUCCUUUAUAUAAUCUCAGAAACCUAUAGAUGUGUUUCAACAUGUUACACGUAAAUGACAAAUGUAUUGGUACAAUAAAGCCUUCGGCUUACUAAAACGGUGGUCGCAGCUGCACGAAGGGGUUGGUAAAGGCGUACAGCUGUUUGCUAAGGGAUCGCUAAGAUUAUCUUAAAGCUGUAUUAAGAAAGAUAACGUCUGUGAUGAAUCGCAUUCAGCGAUAAUACAAAGAAUUUAUAUGUGCGAGUAUUUAAAAAAAAAAAAAAAAAAACAAAAAAAAAAAAAAAAAAAAAAAAGAGAAAGAAGAAGAAGAUGAAGGAUAUAAAAUGUACGUAUUAUGUAUUUACAUUUAACACGUAGAAAUUUAAAAAGAAAAUCGUUGAUACUUUUUCCAACGAAAAAUCCACAUAUUUAUAGGAAUGAAUUUCAGAGUAUUCACGGUAUUGCGAUAAUCGUACAUAAUGUCUAUAGAUUAGUAAUAUGUAAAAGCGUUCAUUCAGAUUUAUGGUUUACGGUUUAAAAGAAAGGAAAAAAAUGCACAUGUAGAGAUCGUUACGCAAGCGAGAUGAGAUAGAAGGAUAUUAGGUUUAUUGUAUAGUUGUACUUUGACCCGAGAAAAUAAUUUCAUGGUAAUCCUCUUGAGGUAAUUUGGUUCGCGUCACGAAAAGAUAUUACGUACUUGAUAAUACCUUAAUAUAUUACUUAGUCUCGGGAAGAAUUUUUGUAAGUAAAAAUGGUUUAAUACUUUUUACUCACGCCAUGUUGUAUUAACAAAUUGUACGUAGAUCAGAAUACGAUGAAGCAUUUAUAAGGAAAAAGAGAAUAUUUUUAAUUAUAACGUUCUCUGAUAGUCGGCUUGGUUGAUGGCGUCAACGAUCACGUUCCCCGAUUCGCAGAAUGUCAAGACAUUUAUAUGGAAUUUUUCGAACAUUCUAAAUAUAUGCUUGGAUACAAUCUCAAACGAGCAUUUCUUAAAAAUGUGAUUUCAUAAAAAAGUUACCGCUGUUUGAACACGAACAUUCUCCUACCAUUUGGUCAUACAUUUAUUAUUAAAUACGGUAAAGUCAUAAAAAUCAUUAAAUGAUAUUGUACAAAAAUCCUACUUGAUACGAAUUAGAAUCUUUAUAAUUCUUCUGAAUUCUGAAUCUAAUAUUCUGAAUGUUUUUUAUUUGAUUUUAAUUUGAUUUCUUAACAUGCAUUUUUAUGUUUUCCUUUCCAAUAAUCU